rnacentral:rRNA from 1 species
AGUGAACGCUGGCGGCGUGUUUAACACAUGCAAGUCGAACGAGAACGGAUUAUAGCUUGCUAUAAUUGUCAGCUAAGUGGCGCACGGGUGAGUAAUGUAUAGGUAAUAUGCCUCUUACUAAGGGAUAACAAAUGGAAACGUUUGCUAAUACCUUAUACUCCUUAUUAACAGAAGUUAAUAAGGGAAAGAUUUAUUGGUAAGAGAUUAGCCUGUAUUGUAUCAUUUAGUUGGUGGGGUAAUGGCUUACCAAGACUAUGACACAUAACUGGUUUGAGAGGAUGAUCAGUCACACUGGAACUGAGACACGGUCCAGACUCCUACGGGAGGCAGCAGUGGGGAAUAUUGCACAAUGGACGAAAGUCUGAUGCAGCAACGCCGCGUGGAGGAUGACACAUUUCGGUGCGUAAACUCCUUUUAUAUGAGAAGAUAAUGACGGUAUUAUAUGAAUAAGCACCGGCUAACUCCGUGCCAGCAGCCGCCGCUGUAA